UACAGAGGAUGCAAGCGUUAUCCGGAUUUAUUGGGCGUAAAGCGUCCGCAGGUGGCUAUUCAAGUCUGCUGUCAAAGCUCGGAGCUUAACUCCGAAUCGGCGGUGGAAACUGAACAGCUAGAGUGCAGUAGGGGUAGAGGGAAUUCCCAGUGUAGCGGUGAAAUGCGUAGAGAUUGGGAAGAACACCGGCGGCGAAAGCGCUCUACUGGACUGCAACUGACACUCAGGGACGAAAGCUAGGGGAGCGAAUGGG
rnacentral:rRNA from 1 species